rnacentral:misc_RNA from 1 species
ACACCUCAACUCUCAUGGCUUGCCAUGAUGAGCUUGGACCUUGGGGGUCUUGCUGGCACCUGCAGGUGUCAGCUCCUCUCAAAUGAAUCAGCUUGCCAGUGUUUGGUGGCGUCACGGGUGUGAUAAAUAUCUACGCUUGUGGCUUUCCACCAGGUAACCUUCAGCAAUGGAGGUUCACUGGAGCUUAUAAAUGUCUCUCCUUGGUGAGGACAGAUUUUGACC